rnacentral:rRNA from 1 species
UGAGGAACAUGACCUUCGGCGGGGGAUAGCCGGCCCAACGGCCGGGUAAUACCGCGUACGACCACAUGGGGACAUCCCUGAGUGGUGAAAGCAGCAAUGCGCCGAUGGAGUGCCUCGCGGCCUAUCAGCUAGUUGGUGAGGUCAUGGCUCACCAAGGCGACGACGGU